rnacentral:lncRNA from 1 species
UUCUCUUCUUUUCUCUUCUCAAGAGAAUAUCAGAGAGCUGGAGGAGAAAGAUGAGAGAGGAGAUGGGCAUCCAACUCUUGGAUGUGGGCUUAUGGAAGGAUGAUAGCUAGGGGAUGUUCAACUCUUGGACAUAGCAUGGAAGAAAGAAGAGGGGCUUGAGAAUUUCCAACUCCUGGUUAUCUCAUAUAAGAAAGAAAGAGGCAUCA